UACGGAGGGUGCGAGCGUUGUCCGGAAUCACUGGGCGUAAAGGGCGCGUAGGCGGCCUGAUAAGUAGGGGGUGAAAUCCUGCGGCUUAACCGCAGGGCUGCCUUCUAAACUGUCAGGCUAGAGCACAGUAGAGGCAGGUGGAAUUCCCGGUGUAGCGGUGGAAUGCGUAGAGAUCGGGAAGAACAUCAGUGGCGAAGGCGGGUCUCUGGACAGUUCCUGACGCUGAGGCACGAAGGUCAGGGGAGCAAACGGGG
rnacentral:rRNA from 1 species